GACGAACGCUGGCGGCGUGCUUAACACAUGCAAGUCGAGCGGAAAGGCCCUUCGGGGUACUCGAGCGGCGAACGGGAGAGUAAGACGUGAGUAACCGGCCCCUGACCUUGGGAUAACCCUCGGAAACGGGGGCUAAUACCGGAUACGACACAGAUUCGCAUGGGGUCUGUGUGGAAAGUUUUUCGGUUGGGGAUGGGCUCGCGGCCUAUCAGCUUGUUGGUGGGGUGAUGGCUUACCAAGGCGACGACGGGUAGCCGGCCUGAGAGGGCGACCGGCCACACUGGGACUGAGACACGGCCCAGACUCCUACGGGAGGCAGCAGUGGGGAAUAUUGCACAAUGGGCGGAAGCCUGAUGCAGCGACGCCGCGUGCGGGAUGACGGCCUUCGGGUUGUAAACCGCUUUCGGCUGGGACGAAGCGUAAGUGACGGUACUUGCUGAAGAAGCGCCGGCUAACUACGUG
rnacentral:rRNA from 1 species